rnacentral:tRNA from 1 species
GCCUGGGUGGCUCAGUGGUUGAGUGUCUGCCUUUGGCUCAGAGCAGGAGUCCCGGGAUCGAGUCCCGCAUCGGGCU